CCUACGGGGGGCUGCAGUGGGGAAUUUUCCACAAUGGGCGAAAGCCUGAUGGAGCAACGCCGCGUGCAGGAUGAAGGCCUUCGGGUUGUAAACUGCUUUUAUCUGUGACGAAUUUGACGGUAACAGAAGAAUAAGGAUCGGCUAACUACGUGCCAGCAGCCGCGGUCAUACGUAGGAUCCGAGCGUUAUCCGGAAUUACUGGGCGUAAAGAGUUGCGUAGGUGGUUAUGUAAGCGAAUAGUGAAAUCGUGUGGCUCAACCAUACGGCUGUUAUUC
rnacentral:rRNA from 1 species